rfam:TPA: Bos taurus chromosome 15, whole genome shotgun sequence.
CCUGGUGGCUCAGAGGUUAAAGCAUCUGCCUGGAAUGCAGGAGAUCAGGGUUCAAUCCCUGAGUCGGGA